rnacentral:rRNA from 1 species
GGGAUUGCCUCAGUAACGGCGAGUGAAGCGGCAAAAGCUCAAAUUUGAAAUCUGGUACCUUUGGUGCCCGAGUUGUAAUUUGAAGAUAGUUUUCUGGUGCUGGCCCUUGUCUAUGUUCCUUGGAACAGGACGUCACAGAGGGUGAGAAUCCCGUCUGGCGGGGUGUCCAGUGCUUUGUAGAUUUCUAUCGACGAGUCGAGUUGUUUGGGAAUGCAGCUCUAAGUGGGUGGUAAAUUCCAUCUAAAGCUAAAUAUUGGCGAGAGACCGAUAGCGAACAAGUACAGUGAUGGAAAGAUGAAAAAGAACUUUUAAAAGAGAGUGAAAAAGUACGUGAAAUUGUUGAAAGGGAAGGGUAUUAGAUCAGACUUGGUGUUUUGUGAUUAUCUUCCCUUCUUGGGUUGUGCACUCGCAUUUCACUGGGCCAGCAUCGGUUCGGGUGGUAAGAUAAUGACAUUGGAACGUGGCACUACCUUCGGGUGGUGUGUUAUAGCCCUUGUUGAUGUUGCCUACCUGGACCGAGGA